UACGUAGGGGGCAAGCGUUGUCCGGAUUUAUUGGGCGUAAAGAGCGUGUAGGCGGUUUGGUAGGUCCGCUGUGAAAACUCGGAGGCUCAACCUCGAGACGCCGGUGGAAACCAUCAGGCUAGAGUCCGGAAGAGGAGAGUGGAAUUCCUGGUGUAGCGGUGAAAUGCGCAGAUAUCAGGAGGAACACCAAUAGCGAAGGCAGCUCGCUGGGACGGUACUGACGCUAAGGCGCGAAAGCGUGGGGAGCGAACAGG
rnacentral:rRNA from 1 species